rnacentral:rRNA from 1 species
UUGGUCAUUUAGAGGAAGUAAAAGUCGUAACAAGGUCUCCGUAGGUGAACCUGCGGAGGGAUCAUUACAAGUGACCCCGGUCUUACCACCGGGAUGUUCAUAACCCCUUGUUGUCCGACUCUGUUGCCUCCGGGGCGACCCUGCCUUCGGGCGGGGGCUCCGGGUGGACACUUCAAACUCUUGCGUAACUUUGCAGUCUGAGUAAACUUAAUUAAUAAAUUAAAACUUUUAACAACGGAUCUCUUGGUUCUGGCAUCGAUGAAGAACGCAGCGAAAUGCGAUAAGUAAUGUGAAUUGCAGAAUUCAGUGAAUCAUCGAGUCUUUGAACGCACAUUGCGCCCCCUGGUAUUCCGGGAGGCAUGCCUGUUCGAGCGUCAUUUCACCACUCAAGCCUCGCUUGGUAUUGGGCAACGCGGUCCGCCGCGUGCCUCAAAUCGACCGGCUGGAUCUUCUGUCCCCUAAGCGUUGUGGAAACUAUUCGCUAAAGGGUGUUCGGGAGGCUACGCCGUAAAACAACCCCAUUUCUAAGGUUGACCUCGGAUCAGGUAGGGAUACCCGCUGAACUUAAGCAUAUCAAUAAG